rnacentral:lncRNA from 1 species
UUAAGUUGUAAAUGCGUUGUCAGCUCCUGAGCAUUUUUCCCUGGGUCUCGGAGCCGGGCAACGUGUCUCCUGUGCUGUGCGCAGGCAGCGUAGGAGUUGGAGCCGUGCUGAGACGAGGAGUCACAGGGCAACGGAGGUGGCACCUGUGAYGGGAAAUUGGGAGCCUGGACUCAGAGGAGAAAGGAUCAGGCUGGGAGCGACAGGAGCUUUCCUUAGUCCUUCUGUUAAGGAUUGAGUCCGGCACGCGUUCAGGAGCGUUAUUCCCCGAACAAACACCACAAGAGGAAGCUCCAAGCGUGCCCGUUUGCCUGGCAAGGCCAGGUUUGGGGGAAGAAACGGUAACUUUCGCGAGAAGCAGCGGCGACCUUAGGGUCAGGCCGGCGGCGCGCAGCGCUGCCCCUCGUGAGAGCUGUGCGCACUCAGAAGUUAAAGAGCUGCGAGCGCUGUUGACACACCAAAAAUGACUGAUGUUUCUGAAGAGAGAGGUAGCAGGAGAGAGCUGCGAAGUAAGCAAGUAUUAUAGCUUGAAAUCCCAAUAGGAUAAGACAGGAAUCGCUUUCUGAGACUGCUGAGGGGAAUAUAUUGAAAUGUUUGGUUUCAGGAGAAAGAAGGAUUUUUUUUUCCCCCCUAAUUGUUUCUGGAAGCAAUGUUUGAUUUUUUUUU